GUCAGGGUCAUUCUCAAACACAUUUGGAGCUCAUUGCUGGGGGUUCAAAUUGAUUGACGGACGUAGCUCCAGGAUACUCCUGAACACUCCUGAAUGGACCAGUGUUCUGUGGCUGCAGCGCAGAGUCUGCCGACUGUGUCCCGGUUUAGCGGUGGCGUCAUGCGCUUGUAGGGUCGGACAGCCGAGGUAACCAAAAUGUUUGUUUAUGUUUAUUGUUAUCGUUCUGUCGCUUUAUUUUGGUUAAACAUUUCUUUGUUUCAUUACAGUUUUGCCUCUGUUGACUUGUCUUUUUGCUUGUUUAUUUAGCUGUUUUUUUUCUUUAAGUUUGUAGUCAAUUUGCCUAGUUUUGUAUCAGUGUGCUUGGUUCGAGUUUAGUUUCGUUUUCUCCCCGUAAGGUUUAUCCUUAGGUUGUCGUGACUGUGAUCUCUGGCUCAGUAGUCAGGUUUCUCCUCUGCAUAGCUGCGUAGGGCCUGUGUGACUUCCAUUUCUAAUAACUACGUUUAUAUUAACAUUAGUUUGCGUUGUGUGCUGA
ensembl:lncRNA